GAAUGAUGAUAAAUGCACUGGGCUCUGUUUUAUUGAUGGAAAUGCAAGCCUAGAAAGCUUUAUCUAA
rnacentral:snoRNA from 1 species